GGUUUUGAUGUUUUGUUCAAACCAACCUUAUGCAUCAUAACCAACUCAAAUGACAAUAGUUUAGUUUUUAAAGGAAUAAAACGUGGGAAUGUGUAUGUAGUAGACCUUGAGGAUCUUGCCAAACAUAACCCAUAUUUAGUUGUUAAUGAAACUAAAGAUAAUGAUGCUAGUUGGUUAUGGCACCGUAAGUUAGGUCAUGC
rnacentral:lncRNA from 1 species